rnacentral:rRNA from 1 species
UACGGAGGGUGCAAGCAUUAAUCGGAUUUAUUGGGCGUAAAGGGCGCGUAGGCGGAUUUGUAAGUCAGAUGUGAAAUUCCGGGGCUCAACCCCGGAGCGGCAUUUGAAACUGCAAACCUAGAGGGUAGUCGGAGGAAACGGAAUUCCACAAGUAGCGGUGAAAUGCGUAGAUAUGUGGAAGAACACCAGUGGCGAAGGCGGUUUCCUAGAUUACACCUGACGCUGAAGCGCGAAAGCAAGGGGAUCAAACAGG